CCUACGGGAGGCAGCAGUGGGGAAUUUUGGACAAUGGGCGAAAGCCUGAUCCAGCCAUUCCGCGUGAGUGAAGAAGGCCUUCGGGUUGUAAAGCUCUUUCGCAAGGGAAGAAAACUUAGUCUCUAACAUAGACUGAGGUUGACGGUACCUUGAUAAGAAGCACCGGCUAACUACGUGCCAGCAGCCGCGGUAAUACGUAGGGUGCGAGCGUUAAUCGGAAUUACUGGGCGUAAAGCGUGCGCAGGCGGUUUUGUAAGUCAGAUGUGAAAUCCCCGAGCUCAACUUGGGAACUGCGUUUGAAACUACAAGACUAGAAUAUGUCAGAGGGGGGUAGAAUUCCACGUGUAGCAGUGAAAUGCGUAGAGAUGUGGAGGAAUACCAAUGGCGAAGGCAGCCCCCUGGGAUAAUAUUGACGCUCAUGCACGAAAGCGUGGGGAGCAAACAGGAUUAGAUACCCUGGUAGUCCACGCCCUAAACGAUGUCUACUAGUUGUUGGUGGAGUAAAAUCCAUGAGUAACGCAGCUAACGCGUGAAGUAGACCGCCUGGGGAUACGGUCGCAAGAUUAAAACUCAAAGGAAUUGACCGGNNGAGAGNGACGAGACGACGACGAGGAGGAGG
rnacentral:rRNA from 1 species